AACGAACGCUGGCGGCAUGCCUAACACAUGCAAGUCGAACGAGACCUUCGGGUCUAGUGGCGCACGGGUGCGUAACGCGUGGGAACCUGCCCUUAGGUUCGGAAUAACUCCCCGAAAGGGGUGCUAAUACCGGAUAAUGUCUUCGGACCAAAGAUUUAUCGCCUUUGGAUGGGCCCGCGUUGGAUUAGCUAGUUGGUAGGGUAAAAGCCUACCAAGGCGACGAUCCAUAGCUGGUCUGAGAGGAUGAUCAGCCACACUGGGACUGAGACACGGCCCAGACUCCUACGGGAGGCAGCAGUGGGGAAUAUUGGACAAUGGGCGAAAGCCUGAUCCAGCAAUGCCGCGUGAGUGAUGAAGGCCUCAGGGUUGUAAAGCUCUUUUAACCGGGAUGAUAAUGACAGUACCGGGAGAAUAAGCUCCGGCUAACUCCGUG
rnacentral:rRNA from 1 species